ACUCAUAUUUUUUUUUAAAACAAAUGUACGGUGUGGAUAAAUGAUGGGGCGUAUGUACGGUAGGAUAUAAGCGUAAUUAUGUGAGAGGUGCACGUGAGUGUGUGGUGCGAGAAGCGUGGGAUUACUCCCCAACUCUAUAAUUCUCUCCAGCAGAAUUAUUUGUCCCACUUCUCUCUCAUUUCUCUCGGCGGUCUCUCUCUCUUCUCCUCUCAUCCGAAUCUCACUAUCUCAUUCUCUCAACCAAAACCCACCAAAACCACUUGAAACCUACACAAACCCACCUUCAAUUUGCCUUCUCUUCGUGAUUCAAGCUUCAAUUUCGUGGGUUUUUCUUGGAGGGGGCUGUUUUUGGUUGAUUUGAAGAUUUUGGAGUCAAGGGCUUGAUUAACCUUGGGGUUUUGCUCUCUAAACUUGAGAAUGUCUUCGAGGCGGGGAGUCAGGUGGGGUGAGACCGGGGACCAUGAUUACCAGGGCUGCAAUGUUUACAGGAGGGAUGAGGCGAGUCAGUGUACUCGGGAGGAAGCAAUGUUUCCUGAGAUUGUUGAGUGUGUGAAGGGCGUUGAAAUUCUAGUGGGCACGCAGAGAAGUAUGAACGUGGGGGAAAUUAGCUGUCGAGUCGUUAGCGCGGGAUCAUCUUCCGAGAGUGUUGAGAGUUCAGGAGGGAAGACACUGAGGGAAUUGUCACUCUUUGCAGGGCCAGCAGGGUUUGAAACCAUCUUCUCGUUCUGAGACCUCGGGAGUUGUCCUCAAACGUCAGAUUGUGUGUCAUCGUUGUGGUCAGCUUGGCCAUAUUCGUUCUCAAUGUCAGGGGCGCCAAGAAAGAUCUUGUUUUACAUGUGGGAAGUUUGAUCAUAUUGAAAGAAAUUGUCCUCAGAGAAGAAGAGUGCAGACUGAGUUGGGCAUAGCACAAGAACUAGGAACUUGGCAAAUCGUCAGCCAGCUGCAAUCCCAGGGCGCACCAAGGCAACCAACCAUUAGAGUGAGUACGAUGCCAGGGAGUUUUGAAAGUCAAGGGAGGAAAAGACAGAGGGAACCAAAUCAGCCUUCGCUAAACCAGAUUAACCUUAGGCCACCUACCUUAUCUAGGGAUCAAGGAGUUCCACAGCUUGAUAGGCUUUGUUAUGUCUGUCGCAAACCCGGCCACUUUGCGAGAAAUUGUCCUUUGGGAUUGGGAGUACAAGGUGGGUUGAGCUCAGUGCAGCAGAAUAAACGUACACCGAAACAGUAACAGAUGCAAUUCCACAGCUAAACUACUAUUUCCUACCAUUCUCUCUCGCUCUCAGAAACGUUAAUUGUUGAGGUAUCAUCAUUCCCUUGUUGUUCUACUCAUUCGUUAGCCAUUCCAUAUUGGUGCGUUGUCUUCAACUUCUUUGAUUUAUGUAUGGUGAGAAUUGAUCUGGUUUGGGAAGGGAUUGGUUGCGUCUGUGCUAGUUGGUGAUAUUCCGAGCGUGAUCUCGUGAGAGUUGUUUCUUUUAUUACCCUAUUUCGUUGGCCUAAUUGAAAUUUUGUUAGAGUUGUAUCGUAAUUUGUUUUUCGUGAAGUCCGUUGUACCGUUAACCUAUUAUAGUUCUUGACAUUUCAGUUAAUUAUCACACAAUCCAUUCCUAGCUUUUCUUGGGAAUAUUCAGAAUCUUGUGGCGAAGCACCCUGGCCAUGACACUUGCUAUUGCUGUUGGUGACUAUUUCCUGUAUUCCAUUCGAAAUUUUAUUCUAACUUUAUUCUGUUGGGAUAAGUUUUCAUUGGACGAUUCAGAUCCCUCGGUUGCGACUAUUAGUUUGUUUGUCUGUCACAAUUAUUCUGCAUAAGUUCUUGUGUUGAUACUUUAAUCUACUAAACCCAAUCUGUGGUCACAUACCUUAUGAUAUACAAAUUCUUCGGUGUCGUUAAAUUAGCACUUGUUGCUAUUGUUGCCCGUAUCUGCCUUGUAUCUGUUUGUUAGCCUUGACCUAUUUAGUUGGUUAGAGAUUCCUUGUUGCAGCUACUAGUUUAUUUCUUGGAAUGUAUCAUUCUACACAAAUUCUCAUGUCGAAAUUUGAGCCAAAUCUUGCGGUAGCAUAUUUUUCGAUAUCUAUUUGUUGGCUCUGUUCAAUUUGAAAUCACAUGUGAUAGUUGUCUUUAGUGCCAUCCAACUUUGUUGUGGUUCCUCAACUCGAAAGGUAAACGAUGGUUCAAUUUGUAACACUCAGUCUCAAUUUGUUAGAAGUAUUGCUCAAAUUUGGUAUUGGACAAAUUUUCAACCUUGUAUGAGUUGGAUUACUAGGGAUUUGUCUCAUUAUUUUGUGUUUGUCCUUAGUAAAGUUAUGAUCGGUUUUUUUAAGAUUCAUUGGAUUAUCAUGAGUUUGUACAGUGAGUUUGUUGUCUAAUCUUCUAAAGAUCUCAUGUGUCCUUUAGAUUCGGGUACCUUACUACCAUGCUCGUAUACUUAAUUAGUUUUGUUUGAGUUUUAGAGUUCGUUUGUCUCAUUUGAGAUAAUCAAAAAUUGUGUUGACUGUCGUCGUCUCUUAUUGUCACUUGAAGUGGGAAGAUUCACGCAUUUUGUAAAGUACCGCCGCAUUGAAGUGUGUCUCAUCUGGGGAAGAAAUGGAAGCGUUCGCCGCUAGAAAGAGAGGUUGGGUAUCGGAUACGGCACGUGUCUAUUGGAUAACUAGGCGACAACCGAUGAAAUCCAGUUGGAAGGGGAGCUUGAUCACCGCACCUUCUAGAUAGAAGUCUCAGGAAGUCAAAUGGAUUAUCGGGUUACACUCAGGAGGUAAAAAAAAAACUCUAUGGUGAGAUAGACAGUCGUAUAUAGGAAUUUUGUAAUAGAGAAAAGCUUGAAAACUGUGUACCGUUUAACGUUGCCGCUUAAAUUCUUCAAUAUACAUGAUGUGUUCUAUAUACGGAGAUUGAGGAGG